GACGAACGCUGGCGGCGUGCCUAAUACAUGCAAGUAGAACGCUGAAGAGAGGAGCUUGCUCUUCUUGGAUGAGUUGCGAACGGGUGAGUAACGCGUAGGUAACCUGCCUUGUAGCGGGGGAUAACUAUUGGAAACGAUAGCUAAUACCGCAUAACAAUGGAUGACACAUGUCAUUUAUUUGAAAGGGGCAAUUGCUCCACUACAAGAUGGACCUGCGUUGUAUUAGCUAGUAGGAGAGGUAAUGGCUCACCUAGGCGACGAUACAUAGCCGACCUGAGAGGGUGAUCGGCCACACUGGGACUGAGACACGGCCCAGACUCCUACGGGAGGCAGCAGUAGGGAAUCUUCGGCAAUGGGGGCAACCCUGACCGAGCAACGCCGCGUGAGUGAAGAAGGUUUUCGGAUCGUAAAGCUCUGUUGUAAGUCAAGAACGGGUGUGAGAGUGGAAAGUUCACACUGUGACGGUAGCUUACCAGAAAGGGACGGCUAACUACGUG
rnacentral:rRNA from 1 species